rnacentral:rRNA from 1 species
ACGUACGAACAAACCGUGCUGACCAUGCCUGAUUCUGUCUGAUCUCUGAAGCUCAGCAGGGAUGGAUCUGGUUGCUGCUAGGAGACCAAUUAGGACUACCAGGUUAGCCUACUGU